rnacentral:rRNA from 1 species
AGUGGGGAAUAUUGCACAAUGGGCGCAAGCCUGAUGCAGCGACGCCGCGUGAGGGAUGGAGGCCUUCGGGUUGUAAACCUCUUUUAUCGGGGAGCAAGCGAGAGUGAGUUUACCCGUUGAAUAAGCACCGGCUAACUACGUGCCAGCAGCCGCGGUAAUACGUAGGGUGCAAGCGUUAUCCGGAAUUAUUGGGCGUAAAGGGCUCGUAGGCGGUUCGUCGCGUCCGGUGUGAAAGUCCAUCGCUUAACGGUGGAUCCGCGCCGGGUACGGGCGGGCUUGAGUGCGGUAGGGGAGACUGGAAUUCCCGGUGUAACGGUGGAAUGUGUAGAUAUCGGGAAGAACACCAAUGGCGAAGGCAGGUCUCUGGGCCGUUACUGACGCUGAGGAGCGAAAGCGUGGGGAGCGAACAGGAUUAGAUACCCUGGUAGUCCACGCCGUAAACGGUGGAUGCUGGAUGUGGGGCCCGUUCCACGGGUUCCGUGUCGGAGCUAACGCGUUAAGCAUCCCGCCUGGGGAGUACGGCCGCAAGGCUAAAACUCAAAGAAAUUGACGGGGGCCCGCACAAGCGGCGGAGCAUGCGGAUUAAUUCGAUGCAACGCGAAGAACCUUACCUGGGCUUGACAUGUUCCCGACGGUCGUAGAGAUACGGCUUCCCUUCGGGGCGGGUUCACAGGUGGUGCAUGGUCGUCGUCAGCUCGUGUCGUGAGAUGUUGGGUUAAGUCCCGCAACGAGCGCAACCCUCGCCCCGUGUUGCCAGCGGAUUAUGCCGGGAACUCACGGGGGACCGCCGGGGUUAACUCGGAGGAAGGUGGGGAUGACGUCAGAUCAUCAUGCCCCUUACGUCCAGGGCUUC